rnacentral:tRNA from 1 species
GGGGCCUUAGCUCAGCUGGGAGAGCGCCUGCUUUGCACGCAGGAGGAGGUCAGCGGUUCGAUCCCGCUAGGCUCCA